rnacentral:lncRNA from 1 species
CUGGCGUCGGGACUCCUUCCUUGGGGACCUGGCUUACAAAGGCCAGGCCAGCCCUGCACCGCGGUGUCUGCGACGGGCCACCGAGUGGGUCCCCGACCAAUGAACCCCAACUUUAGAGAGCAGUGGCUCCGGGGGUCCCGCGGGUCCCAGGCUCUCUGUCGCCUGCCCCGGGAGGCCUUUUCUUUCUUUGGGCCGACAAGGCGGGGUCAUCUACCGCGAAGACGAAAAUCUUUCCAGGAAGUUUGUACCUAUUAAUAUUCCAGUUCCUGGCAGCCGCUCUCCGCGCCGGGGAGGGGGCAGGGCGGACCCCGCAGCUGCUUCUACAGCCGAGGCAAGGGGCGGAGGGGCAGCUCCUAGGUCCCCACACCACGGCGGGGGCAGAAACCGCUCCGAGGCUCAACGUGCCGGAGCCCGGAGGUUUGCCCGGAGCGGCGCGCGGUGGGACCCGGAGGAUCCCGAGGCCCAGACGAAACCAAGAGCUGGGACGCGGGAGGGGUGUGGGAGAGGGACAGGAGGGAUCGGUGCCUCGGGGAGGGGUGUGGGGCAACCCGGGGCCCGCACUUGGGCUGCGCCGCUCCCCCCAAAAGAAAGCUGGUCCGGGAAGCUGGAGCCCGCGGCCCUGGAGAGGUCGGGACCCUGGUCCUGACCUUGCUGUGGUAACACAGCCGCAGGGCGCUGCAGCAGAAAUUUGAUAUUUGAGAGCCUACGGGCUCCUCGCCACCACCUUGCACGACGGCCACUGUCUCCAUCACAGACGGAGGAACUGGAGCUCACGAGCAGCCGAGGGACUGGCGCGCUGGAGGUCGUGGUGUGGUCAGCCACCGCAGGGACCCGCUGUGAGCCAGGAUCUCCUCCUAGAAGGAAGCGCAGCUGUCCUCCUGCAGGAGCGGCCAGCAGACUCCUCAGCCCCGGGAACCAACCGCAGCACCCACCCGGAGCUUGCUGGAUUUGCAGAAGCUCUUUCGGGGCCCAAGUGCCAGCUCAGUCUUUCUGUCUGGUCACAUGUGGGACAUAAAUCACUUUGUCAAAGCACCCGAGUUUGUAACGCCGCUGGGGCCUCUGUAGAUAAGCUUUGACUGGAGUGUAUGUAGGCUUCUGACCUGGGCUCGUCAAGUGCUAACUGACCCCGAGCAGGAAUUAAGUUCCUGUGUUGCACUGUCUUCCUCGGCAUUCUAGAGUCGUUUGCAAGGCGCUAUGGCAAUCUUCCUGCCCACGAUGGUUAAACCUUACCCUGUGCGGGGACUCUGUCCACCUCUGUGUGUCCUUCCUGUCCAGCCACCAGGUCACCAGUGCUGAGACAUGAACGGACAAAGGUGUCUCAACACCCGCUCCUCGCCUGCCUCCGCACGCACGCAAGCCUCCAACCUUCAGGGUCUCUUGGUAGCCUAGGAUCCAUGUACACCAGUGGGCCUGAGGGGAUGCUGUGACAGAAUUUGGUAUCUUUUUUGGGGGGGGGAGGGUUUCGAGACGGUUUCUCUGUGUAGCUUUGGGGCCUAUCCUGGCACUCGCUCUGUAGACCAGACUGGCCUUGAACUCACAGAGAUCCGCCUGCCUUUGCCUCCCAUGUGCUGGGAUUAAAGGCGUGCGCCACCAAUGCCCGGCUCAGGAUUUGGUAUCUUAAGAUAGGAUUUGCCAACUAGAAAGUCUUCCCAUAGCCCUUCUCCUGAGAAAAAAUCCUGAAAGGCCAAGUCCCAAAUGGAGUGAGUGUGAGACCCAUCGAGGGUGGCCUCUUUUCUGUCUCCUUGGAGUGCCAGGUGUGGAGACCUCUCCUGGACUUUCAACCGUCAGCAGGAGAUGCCUUUUGGAACCUAAAGUCCACAAGCAUGGCUGCCUCCUCAGCUCUGAAGCCUUCUUCGGGUUGUUUUCCUUCACACCCAAAAGGUUCAGAGAGAGCUCCACAGAGGAGGGGCAGGAAUAUGGGCGCCACUGUUGACCUCUGCAGAGGAGCCAGCAGCAGCCGCAGAAAAGAAAACGCAGGACCAGCUGGAAGACCUGCCAUGUCGGGCAUGCAGGCUCAAGGAUGACUCUACAGGCCGGGCAGUCCUCCACAGACCCUGGAAUCUGCUUCCUCCCCUUGGACCUGGGAGUUCGUGACUCAGCUGUUUCCUGAUGGCAGUGACCCGCGUCUGAAGUCCAUCGACCUGGGAGCACCUGUGCAACUAUCAAUAGCCAGAGACACCCAAGGUUUGCGUGAGGGGCUCGGAACAGGAAGCAGGACAUGGGACUGAGCCGGCCGUGCUGGCCUUGAGCCAUGGAGCUUACAAAGCAGAGCAGGGAUGAGCUCUCCCAGGCCAUGCUGCUGCCGCAGAUUCAUGAGUGAAUCUCGUUAAGAUACUAUUUUUAUUUCUCAUUUUUCAGGUGGAAAUUGUUUCACAACACCUGCACUGAUUAAUUCUUGUUAAUUUGACAAACUACAGUCACGGGGAAGAGGGAACCUCAACUGAGGAGCUGCCUGACAGACUGACCUGUGGGCGUGUCUUGAUUGAAGAUGGAUGUGGACUGUGGCACCACUCGCAGAUGGCCCUGGGUUGUAUAAGCGAGCAAGCUGAGCAAGUUAUGGAGAGCAAGCCAGUAGGCAGUGGUUCCUCUACUGUUCCUGCUUAAGAUUCCUGCCUCGCUUCCCUUGCUCAUGGACUGUGAUGUGGACAUGUAAGCCAACAAACCUUCUCUAAGUCGCUUUUGCUUAUGGUGUUUGUC